CUUGUGUCUGUGUCUGCCCUCGCUGUUUGCUGGUUCAGAUGUUGGAUCAAUGUGUUUGUGUCCGUCUAGAGAAGGCUCUGACUCCAGCCAGGGCUGAUCUGCAGAAGGUAAUGGGAUUGUAAGUGUCUGGUGGAGAGGAGGAGCACUAAUGAAAUGACAGGCGGGGGCUGUCAGAGCAGAAGCUUUUAGCUGACAGCCGCUCACAUCCGAGGAUACACAGCAUCUAUGGUGUAAGUUUGAGUCACACGUGUGGGAAUGUGUGCCUCUGAUUCUACAUGUUUCUGCCCUGACUCCGUCCUCAUGCUGACAGCCAGACAAGAUCACAUGAGUUAGAGUUUGCUAACUGUGUGUUUCUAGCUCUGCCGCAGUGAUAGGCCACAACCUCGCGAUGACAGUAUCACUGCAGAGUGUUAGAGCAGGGAAGGCGUGCCCAGCUCCUGUGUUUCCUUCUCUGCUGAUAGUUCUUAUCUGGAAAAGCAGAGAAAUAGACUAAUGCUGCCUCUGCAGCUGUCAAAACAGUCAUUCUCUCUCUGUUUACUUGAUGCAUGUUACUGAGAGAUAGAGCUUAGCUAAGCUGCAAGAAAGAGGUUAUGGAUUGUUGCAGCACAAUUUGUACUGGACUCUUGUACCAGUGGGUUGCCAUUUGGGCUUUCUAAAAAGCAUUUCAUCUUGUUGUUUUUUCAUACUCCUGUCAAAACGUUGCAAAUGCUGCCCUGUUCAUUCUGUGAAUCACCCUCCUGCUGUCCAUCCUUUGAAAUCAUCAUAUCACUGCAUAAGCCCUAUAUGUAUCCCAUUGUGAUUUGAUUUGGAGAGCAAAAAUGGCAGAUUAGUCUUAAAUCCGCCCAAGUAGAUUAUCCACUCAUCUCUAAAGCUUAUGCAUCGAAGGUUCCUCAUAAUUGCCGCUUGCAGUUGAGGGGGCAAGAGCGCCCGGCUUACCCGUGAUCGGAAGAACAGAACUGAGCUGCUCCCACAAUGCCAUCCGUGUCUGCUUAUUAAAAGUGUGCUUGACCCCGCUUUUUCCCCCCGUGUAUCUCUUCCUAUUGUGUUCCGCCUGAUUGAUGUUGACUGGGGUCACCUAAGCUCAUGCAGGGGAUCAUGGCACAGUGUGCAGGGGGCUAAAUGUUUACAUGCAUUCAUCUGACUUUACCCAGGGGUCUGCUGGCCUGAUCCAGGGUUGUCUUGUGGACUUGCAGACUUAGCCAUAUGUCAUGCUUUUCCCUACCACUGGACUGAAGGUCAACCCCACCAGGUUACGGAGGCUAGUUAGGAAGAAUAACUGCUCUUCAUGGGCUGGUCCCUAUCUGAGCUCUCAGCUGUGACAACACAUAUGGCACUUAACAUGAGUAGGUUGAAGAACAUGCAUGACACUAAUGUGCCUCUUCUGCUAACAUUAACCUGACUGACAUGACGCAGAAUAUGACAGCAAAUUAUCUGAGGUGUUUGAGUAAUGCACUUAUUCUGAGGAGUAUGUGACAGUGGGGAACAGAGGUGAGCUAAUGGAAAAUACUUAAGCUUGAAAAAGAGACCUCAAAAAGCUCUAGGAAGAGGAAGUUUGACAACUGAACUGACACAGAGAAGUUGAAAGGAAGGGCUGGGUAUGCUAAGAACCUCACAAUAGGAUACAUUUCACCACACAUGGGUCACAUACCUGUAUGGGUUGUUAUAUUUUGAAGGCAUGAUGAGGGUUACUCAAAAUAAAGCACUGACUCAUUGUAAACCAUCUUCCCACCAUUAUCUCUGCAUUCAGAUUUAAUGCAUUAAUAGCAGUCGCUCCGCCAGCGAGGGGAGGGACCUUAAUUCCCUGUCUGCCCUUAUUUUCUGUAAUCUCUCUCCUGCUGCAACAACAAACAUCCCAUUGUGCUUCGGUAACAUAGUUAAAGUUGUCAUCUCACCGAACGUCACAUCUGGCUCGUGCCUGCACACCAGCCACAAUGCUAAAGAGCUUCUGAGUGCCCCUAUGCGCCACAAAUACAUGUAAAAACAAAAACACUCCGACUGCAAGGACGAGCUUGGUCACCUGUUUGGUCUAAAAUCUAAACAUGUUUGCCUUUAGUCAGCACCUCAGUAACUCAAAUCCUUAGUUUCACCUCAUCCAAACAGUGUAAGAUUGCUCCAGGGGUACCAUAAUUGUUAGAUUAUCAGUCAACUGUAGGGCUACAUGAUUAAUCGAUUAUAAAUCUUAAUCUGAUUAUCUCAUUAUGAUGAUGUUAAAAAAACUGAAAUUGUCAAAUCGAUAUUUCUCUCACCUCUCAUGUGGAUGCCUAUUUGCGUCUCUCUUAAAACGAUUAUGUGACACACAGCGUAACUCUUUUAUGACGCGUGUAUGUGUUCGACCAAAACAACCUUUUUAAUCAUGCUCUGUACUCUUCUUCUGUCUUUUGUACAUUUUCUCGGCAGUGUGACAGCGCUACUUACUGGCUUAGCAUAUGCACUACAUUGUUUUCAGUGGUUUCGUUUUGAGAGAUGAUAGAAAAACUUUGAUCUUUUAAGUGAAAUUUGGUGAAGUUGUCACUGAAUGAAAAAUCAAAAUUGAAAACGUAAAUUGAGUUCUGAGAAAAAAUCUGGAUUUUAUUUUCAGCUAAAAUCGUGCAGCCCUAGUCAACAGGCUACUGAACCACGUACUUUGUUUUUUGAGGUGGCUCUGUAUGAAAAUCUGUCCACAUGAAACCACACAAUGUCAGUAAUUGUAGUGAAAACAUGCGUAAAAUUUAUACCGUGUGGUUUAACCUGGUGGUGUGAGAUAUCUGAGUAAUGCUUCAGGCCAUAGAGCAGGAUCAUUUGUUCAGUUAUGGAAAUGAAUGAACAGUCGGAUCCUCUCCUGUUAAUGUGUUCCUCUUUUCAUUUGGCACUGACGCAGUAAUGACCCCAUUCAGAGCAACUUAGCUUUAUAGCAUAUGCAUUAGAGUUUAAGUGUGCACUUGCAGCAUCACAGGCUUGAGAAAAGUGUUUUUUUUUUCUGUUUCAUCCUGAAGUUUGAUAUAAUGUUCAAACCUGGUGCCGUCAUUUCCCUUAACACAGCUUGAGACAACUUGCAACACGGUCUGAGAUUCAUGCGUGCCGUGGUAGGAGCUUCUACCCUCAAACAGAGAGUAGAUCAGGUUCUUUUAUUCUUCACACAUCCAUCGAAAGAAUAACCUCAGCUCUUUCUCUGAAGCCAGUGUCCAAGCACAGUACCUUAAGAAGUAACUCUGAAAAUAAAAAUGAUCAGGAAGUCAUGGCCGAGUAUUUACUGGUUUGACUGCUGCGGCUUCACAUCUGCAUUGUCAAAUGUCUCCAAAUGCUUUAACAGCCAGGCGUUGAUCCACCUCAUUCAUUACAUUCACACAAGUUUCCCACUCUCUGCAGAGAUUUUCUCUCCCAUGCUCAUACACUGGAAUGUGAGUGAGUGUGUGUGUGUGUGGUGUGUGUUUUGAAAUGAAUGUUAACAGGCAGGCGGGGGUGGGGUAGCUGAUUGGAGUCAGAGUGAGCGCGAGUGUUCGGUGGACUGUGUGGUGGAGAGUUAGAGAAGAAAAGGCCAGAGAACAGACAGUGGUGGUAAGGCAUAGAAAUGAAGGAUUGUCUACACUUUCUCUCACCCAUUAACCAGACAGGGCCAUUGUUGCGCUUACUUCCCCACUGGCACACUGUUGCUGUGACUGACAGGCCGACAAGCUGCCUCUGUGGGUCUGCCACAUGGUGGGCUGCUGAAUGGGGAAUGCAAAACGUCACUGCUUUGUAAAAAUAGCUUACCUCAACUCUUUCAAUUGGGAGAAGCUUUCACCUGCACUUCACUUAACACUGAAGUAAUGGCAUUUGCUUCAAAAGCCCGAGGCUGAAAUAGGGGUGGAUGUUUUUUUUUUAAAGCAAAUCAGGUUAAAACAAAUGCAAUUGAUUUUAUUUUCAUUGAUUUCUAAGUGGGUGAAUGUCAGAUAUUAUGUAGUGGUCUUGCUGUUUUUCCUCUCGCUGUGUAGUAUUGGUGUUUUGUUUGCAUGCUAACAUACACGGCUUGGUAAGUGGAGUCCAGUAAAUGACAGCGAUGUCUUAAAGGAAAAUCUCUUCUCACACUUAGAGUCCGUCUUUGCUCCCACCUCAUGAGUCUGUAUACACACCCACUGCUUGCAGCCAGGAUGGCGGUGGGUAACGCCGGCUGAGAGCGGAGGCGUGUUGUACGACUCUCACAGGCUGAGGCUGUCUCGUGGAAUUCCAGAGCCAGAGCAGGAGGCAGAGAGGAGGCUGCUGGGGAAACAAUGACCAGGGACAUCUGUCAUGCGUGGCUGCACUCCCCUUCGCUUACAAUGGGUCCGGGGGACCAGCCAGUGGUGGCUUUCUUUUCUCUCCCCUCCUUUCCGGGGACACUUCUGUCCCUUACAAUGGGUCUUUUGUCCCUUCCCCGCUUUUUGCCAACGUUUAACCCUUCGAGUCUGCUCCUUUUUCUGCCUUCUCUUUCUGUCUCUGCCCGAAAACAAAACAUAGUCAAAACCGCGACUAUUCAUUCACCUCCCUCUGCUCCCGGUUUUCAUUAUGACUUUUGGCUCUGUCUCUAGCUGUGUGCUUCAGUUUCUGUGUGAUUGUGUUGAGACUUUCUUUUUGUGCAGCAAACAUGUUUGUGAGAGACAGGGCAGAGUGAAAACAACUCCAGGACUCCAUCUUCUGUUCUGCACAUCAGGGAUGAGAUAAUAACCCUGCUAACCCGAACUUUCCUUCUGGUACAUCCACAGAUCUAAUUUCACCACAUGUGGGUCCGUUGGCUCCAACACAACAUGGCAGUAGCCUCUGGCACCUGAGACAUCAUCCUGGCUCGGUAUCUUCUUUUACCUCAGUGGUGUCCUUUUCCAACCGGCACCAUUGUGCUCCAGUCAGGUAGAUGUGUUUCCAGGAAGCCAGUCCACUAAGAGGUUGUCUUCUCACACUUACUGCCCACUGAGGCGACACAAAUCACUUCCCCUGUGUGAUACCUGGCAGUGUGGUGAACCGGCUGUGCUCAUGAGUGACAGUUGUUUGGGUCCUGUGAGUUCUACUCAGUACCAUUGAUUAUCAAACCUACGAUAAUGUUAAAGCCACAGCUCGGCUCCGGCUGCUGCGGUGUAAUUAUACUCAGAUCCUUGGAGCCGUCUCAUUCGCAGUGUUUUCAACACUCAUCAGCCUGAUGUAAAUUGCAAAUUGAUUUUUUCCCCAGCCUCUCAUUCUUAAGGACUUAAGGGUUCAAGCUGGUCUACGAUUGAUUGGUCAGAUUGCAAUUUAUUAUUGCUGUCAGUGACAAGACUUUUCAAGGGGAAACUUGGCAGUCUACUGAGUAAAGUGAACUCCUCACCUCUGCUGGGCCAACUUGACAAAGCAAAAAACCAGCAAUUUGGCCCAUAAACAUGUGUGUGUGUCACUGCUUCAGGUAUCACCAGCCUUUAAAAGUUUUUAGAUUAGAUAAGCAGGAUUUGAUUGAAGAGAUUCCACAGCAUAUAUAUCACUAAUUUAAUUCAUAGCUCAAGGCACUUGUGAUUCCUCUCCCAUGCGUCACACUCUCCUUGCAACAUAAUGGACUGACUGGCAAGCUGAACUGCUGCGUCCUUUCCUGGCAGCUAAUUGCUGCCAGCUGCGAAGGGCCGAGGAACAAAGGCCUGUUUGAAAAGGUGAUCUGUUGAUUGAAGAAAGCAUCCACCCUCCUUUUAUUAGGAUGUGCUUCAUGUGAGCCCCGGCAUCUGUGUACAGUGCUGCCUCAUUCUGGCACACAUGUCCCCGGGGCCCAUGCAGCGCAAUGCAACUCUUGUGUUUUGUGAGCAGAGUACCAGAUGAGCUUAAAAAGGGAACGGCCUGGAGAGAGUGUGAGUGAACGCAGGCCAAUUCACUGGAAACUGGGAAGUGUACGUGUAUAUUUUUAAAGUUUUUAUAAAUGUUUGGGAACUGAGAAGUGGAAUACGUUUAUGCACUAAAGGCCAAAAGUUUGGAAGCAAGGCCAUUACAGGCCGAACAGUUGGGAGUAGCUUCAAGUUUUUGUUCACAAUGCUUUUUUUGAAAUCCAGCAAGAGUUUUGUGUAUUUUGGGAUGUAUUUACUCCAUUAUCAGAUGUUGCUUUCAUGGAAAUGCACCAUUUUACUCCAUUUACCUUUAGAUAAACAUUGAUGUUAACAGACCAUUGCUAAAUUUAUGUCAGCAAAAGAUAAUAAGGGAUUAGUUUUAGGGUUGAAAACAUUUCCAAGAGUCACAACUUAAGUGUAAAAGCAAAAGAACAAAUCACAGUUGGAUUAUUCACUUCAAUUUUUGGCUUUUGAGAGUCUGCAUACAAAAAUCCUGGAUUGGAACCUGAUGAACGUGCUAGUAACACAAAUCAACAAAAACUUUCUUACCAUGAUAUUUAUGAUCAAAUGUACGUAAUAUUGACAAUCCAGAAAUAUCAAUACUGAACUUUAUUAUUUUCCCCUUUGUUUCCCUUGCUAUUAACUCUCUUGCUGACCAUGAACUGCUUGUAUGCUCGGGUGCACCAUCCCUGGCUGCACAUUCCCUGACAAGGAUGACAGUUUAUCAUUCUCUUGUUUUCCAGCUGCAGUGGUUUGGAGGAUCAUGGGUCGAAGUCGUGCUAAAGCAGUGCUGCUCCUGCAUAUGCUCUUCCACUUCCUUUUCCCAGAAAGGGCUCAGCCAAAUGAC